rnacentral:rRNA from 2 species
GUGCUUAACACAUGCAAGUCGAACGGAAAGGCCCUUCGGGGUACUCGAGUGGCGAACGGGUGAGUAACACGUGGGUGAUCUGCCCUGCACUUUGGGAUAAGCCUGGGAAACUGGGUCUAAUACCGAAUACACCCUUCUGGCUGCAUGGUCUGGGAGGGGAAAGCUUUUGCGGUGUGGGAUGGGCCCGCGGCCUAUCAGCUUGUUGGUGAGGUUACGGCUCACCAAGGCGACGACGGGUAGCCGGCCUGAGAGGGUGACCGGCCACACUGGGACUGAGAUACGGCCCAGACUCCUACGGGAGGCAGCAGUGGGGAAUAUUGCACAAUGGGCGCAAGCCUGAUGCAGCGACGCCGCGUGAGGGAUGACGGCCUUCGGGUUGUAAACCUCUUUCGCCAGGGACGAAGCGCAAGUGACGGUACCUGGAGAAGAAGGACCGGCCAACUACGUGCCAGCAGCCGCGGUAAUACGUAGGGUCCGAGCGUUGUCCGGAAUUACUGGGCGUAAAGAGCUCGUAGGUGGUUUGUCGCGUUGUUCGUGAAAUC